rnacentral:rRNA from 1 species
UUGCAGGCUGCAACUCGCCUGCAUGAAGUCGGAAUUGCUAGUAAUCGCGGAUCAGCAUGCCGCGGUGAAUACGUUCCCGGGCCUUGUACACACCGCCCGUCACACCAUGAGAGCCGGUAACACCCGAAGUCAAUAGUCUAACCGCAAGGAGGACAUUGCCGAAGGUGGGAUUGGUAAUUGGGGUGAAGUCGUAACAAGGUAUC